ACUCCCACGAUCAAAAUUGCCAUCAGUUCAAAAUUUGAAACCCUAACCAUCAGUUCACAGCCCACGAUCAUUACUCCUACCGCCGUCCACCGCCAGCUCCAUCAAACACCGUUGUCCUUUAAGCACCGCUGUUGCUCAAUCUCAGGGACCUAUUGUCACCACAAUUCGAGCUUUACUGACCCCCACCCAAUGAAGGAACUCCGUGUUAAGGUAAGGCUUUUUGCCUCAUUUUUUUUUAACGUUUGAAAUGUUGCCUUUUGAAAAGAUUUUGGCAGUAUUGUGAAGAAUGGUAAUCUUGGAAAUUGGAAUAGCAAUGCCAGGCACUUCCCUAUCGUUGCAUUCUGGCUUUGGUUGUUGUUGUUUAAUUGGUUUUUAUUUGCAUUUGGUCGUUUGGACCUUUUAUUGUUACGAUGGAUUGUGUAAAGGGUGAAUUUUUAUGGGUCUUGCAAUUAUUUGCUAGAAAAAGUUUGUUUUUUAUUUUAAUUUGAGUAAAACUGAUCUUAGCUUUUGUACUGCAAAUGCAAUCUGAUCUUGCAAAAUUAUUCAUUGGUGGGAUUUCGGGGAAGUUUUGGUAUCAGUAAUUAUGAUGGAUCAGAGCACAGGGUGUGCCUGUGGCCUUGGCUUUAUUGUUUUUGCUGACCCUUAGUGGCAGAGAGAGAAACACAACAUUGAUGAAAAAAUGUUAAGUUGGAUUAGAACUGCUGAAGUUGGAUAAGAAACACAAAAUUCCUCCACCUGCCAAUGGUAUUUUUUUUUUUUGGAGUUCAUCUAAAUUGGUAUCCGGUGAUUCCAGUUGUAAUGUACAUUCAAUUUCAAGUGUUCUUUUACUAUUUAGUCUACAUGCUUUAUUUGUUAGUAUGUUUUUCAUCCCUCCUGGAAAAAGUCAAAUUUCACUUGCAACUAAUGGGUUUGAUCCUUAACGACUUGAUUCUUAAUUACUUGAUUAAAAAGUCAAAUCUGUUAACAACUUAUUUGAGUGGAUUACUUUGUAUUAUGAAGUUGUAAAGCCUAAUAAUUCUUAAUGUGUAGACAUCUUACUAGGUGGAGUAAGCUUCUUAGUAUUAGGUUAGGCAUGAACAUGUUUUCGGGAAAAACUAUUUCAUUUGAAUGACAAUGAUAAAAGUCCGUUUAAAUGGAGUCUAAUUGUUGUGCUCAGGCUCAAUUGGAAUGGGUUAGGUACUUUUCCUCAGAAUCUAGGACGAAAAAUUGGUUACUAUAUGUAUUAGGUACUUUUCCAUGUCUGUUUUUAAUUUUUGUAUCUCAGUAUCUACAUCAACAUUUUCUGUUCUUAUGCAAUGAGGAUCUGCAUCUAGCUUUUCCCCACAAACAAGAUAACAGUGUGCAGAUUGGAGCAUAAGAAGCAUGGAUCCUAACUACUCAAAGUGUUGGAGCGCUUCCAAGGUUUGUCCACAAGUUAAGAAAUUUGGAUUUUCAAAUAAUUAUGAGCCUACCAAAUGUACCCAUUGAUGAAUUUCUUGCAAUUUGGCAUGAUUAUGAUUCCAAACCAGGUUUUAGUUCUCAAUAUUGCACUGCCAACAUUCACAUCUUGGGAAUUCGACUGUGCUUUCUUGACUAAAGCAGCUUUGAUAAACUGAUAAAUUGCUUGCUGAAUUGCAUUUCAGAAGAAAUCUUGGAAGAAUAUUUUACUCUUGGCCUAUCAAAGCCUUGAUGUAGUAUAUGGCGACCUGAGCAUUUCCCCUCUUUAUGUAUUCAAAAGCACAUUUGCUAAAGACAUUCAUCACUCAGAGACUAAUGAAGAGAUUUAUUUGAAAAGCUUUCCUUAAUUUGGUGGAAA